CUUAUCAAGAGCGGUGGAGGGAACGGCCCUGUGAAGCCCGGCAACCUGCGGUAAGCAAGGUGCCAAAUCCGGCGGUGAAACGAAAGAUGAG
rnacentral:ncRNA from 1 species